GGGGUUGUGGCUCAGAGGUAGAGCACUCGCCUAGCAUGUGUGAGGCACUGGGUUCGAUCCUCAGCACCA
rnacentral:tRNA from 1 species